rnacentral:rRNA from 1 species
UGGCGGCAGGGCUAACACAUGCAAGUCGAGCGAGACCUUCGGGUCUAGCGGCGGACGGGUGAGUAACGCGUGGGAAUAUGCCCUUUGGUACGGAAUAGCCUCGGGAAACUGAGAGUAAUACCGUAUGUGCCCUUCGGGGGAAAGAUUUAUCGCCAAAGGAUUAGCCCGCGUUGGAUUAGGUAGUUGGUGGGGUAAUGGNCUACCAAGCCUACGAUCCAUAGCUGGUUUGAGAGGAUGAUCAGCCACACUGGGACUGAGACACGGCCCAGACUCCUACGGGAGGCAGCAGUGGGGAAUCUUAGACAAUGGGGGCAACCCUGAUCUAGCCAUGCCGCGUGAGUGAUGAAGGGCUUAGGGUUGUAAAGCUC